UGGCGUAGUGGUAACGCGCCCCAACUAGAGAUCGGGGAGUCGUGAGUUCGAUUCUCAC
rfam:Aedes aegypti strain Liverpool supercont1.14 genomic scaffold, whole genome shotgun sequence.